UUCCAGACUCCUACGGGAGGCAGCAGUGGGGAAUAUUGCACAAUGGGGGAAACCCUGAUGCAGCGACGCCGCGUGAGUGAAGAAGUAUUUCGGUAUGUAAAGCUCUAUCAGCAGGGAAGAAAAUGACGGUACCUGACUAAGAAGCCCCGGCUAACUACGUGCCAGCAGCCGCGGUAAUACGUAGGGGGCAAGCGUUAUCCGGAUUUACUGGGUGUAAAGGGAGCGCAGGCGGCGCGUUAAGCCUGGUGUGAAAGCCCGCGGCCCAACCGCGGGACUGCAUUGGGAACUGGCGCGCUGGAGUGCCGGAGGGGUAGGCGGAAUUCCUAGUGUAGCGGUGAAAUGCGUAGAUAUCAGGAGGAACACCGGUGGCGAAGGCGGCCUGCUGGACUGCAACUGACGUUGAGGCCCGAAAGCGUGGGGAGCAAACAGGAUUAGAUACCCCAGUA
rnacentral:rRNA from 1 species